rnacentral:rRNA from 1 species
UACAGAGGUCUCAAGCGUUGUUCGGAUUCAUUGGGCGUAAAGGGUGCGUAGGUGGUGGGGUAAGUCGGAUGUGAAAUCCCGGGGCUCAACCCCGGAACUGCAUUCGAUACUGCCUUGCUCGAGUACUGGAGAGGAGACUGGAAUUUACGGUGUAGCAGUGAAAUGCGUAGAUAUCGUAAGGAAGACCAGUGGCGAAGGCGAGUCUCUGGACAGUUACUGACACUGAGGCACGAAGGCCAGGGGAGCAAACGGG